rfam:Anoxybacillus sp. B7M1, complete genome.
UAUUGCAGCUAUUACGGUAAUUUGGAUUGGAAGGGCGUCUAGCCUGGAAACGGGCUAGAUGAUGACUGGGUGAAUUGCUGGGAAGCCCUAAAGCCUUCCUUGCCACAACGAAGCUGGAAACGGCAGGCGUGAAGGUGCAAAAAAAGGAAGGAUGCAACAAUGGGCAAUCAGCAGCCAAGCUCCUGUCUCGAAAGAGUGGAGAAGGUUCAACGACUAGGGCGUACCACCUAAGGCCAUUGGCUAUGGUGAUGAGGUCCGUAGGGGAGGCGGAUGCCGAACCGAAGUGCCCGGCCCCUCACUAGCGAUUAGCUGGCGGGUGAAGAGAUAGUCUACACAACGGUCGAAAGACGUUG